UGGCGGACGGGUGAGUAAUGUCUGGGAAACUGCCUGAUGGAGGGGGAUAACUACUGGAAACGGUAGCUAAUACCGCAUAACGUUGAAAGACCAAAGAGGGGGACCUUCGGGCCUCUUGCCAUCGGAUGUGCCCAGAUGGGAUUAGCUUGUUGGUGGGGUAAUGGCUCACCAAGGCGACGAUCCCUAGCUGGUCUGAGAGGAUGACCAGCCACACUGGAACUGAGACACGGUCCAGACUCCUACGGGAGGCAGCAUG
rnacentral:rRNA from 1 species